AAUCAACGCUGGCGGCGUGCCUCAGACAUGCAAGUCGAACGAUUAAACUUUCCUUCGGGAAAGAUAUAAAGUGGCGCACGGGUGAGUAACACGUAGGUAAUGUACCUUUGGGUGGGGAAUAACCAUCGGAAACGAUGGCUAAUACCGCAUAAUGCAGCGGCAUCGCAAGAUGACAGUUGUUAAAGAUUUAUCGCCUAAAGAGCAGCCUGCGGCAGAUUAGGUAGNGGUAAGGUAAUGGCUUACCAAGCCUGCGAUCUGUAACCGACCUGAGAGGGUGGUCGGCCACACUGACACUGAAUAACGGGUCAGACUCCUACGGGAGGCAGCAGUCGGGAAUUUGGGCAAUGGGCGAAAGCCUGACCCAGCAACGCCGCGUGAAGGACGAAGUCUUUC
rnacentral:rRNA from 1 species